GAUGAACGCUGGCGGCGUGCCUAAUACAUGCAAGUCGAGCGAACAGACGAGGAGCUUGCGCCGCUGACGUUAGCGGCGGACGAGUGAGUGACACGGGGAGAACCUACCUAGAAGACUGGGAUAACUUCGAGAAACCGGGCCGAGUACCAAAAAGAGGAUUGAACCGGAGGGUGGAAUAGUGAAAGACGAGUUGGCUGGUGAGGAAAUAGGUAUCCGCGGCGAAUUAGCGAGUUGGGAAGGAAACGGCUUACAAAGGCGCCGAUGCGUAGCCGACCUGAGGGGUUGAUCGGCCACACUGGAACUGAGACACGGUCCAGACUCCUACGGGAGGCAGCCGUAGGGAAUCUUCCGCAAUGGGCGAAAGCCUGCCGGAGCAACGCCGCGUGAGUGAUGAAGGUCUUCGGAUCGUAAAACUCUGUUAUUAGGGAACAACAACUGUGUAAGCAACUAUGCACGCAUUGACGGUACCUAAUCAGAAAGCCACGGCUAACUACGUG
rnacentral:rRNA from 1 species